UAGUAAGAUGUACCGCAGAAAUGGAGGACCAACUUGUUGAUUAGUGGCAACAACGCAAGUGUAUAUUUAUCAUAUCUCCAUGACUUCAUCCAUCCAUCCUUCGUGAAUUUUCAGUACAAAGUAGUG